UCGACCUGAGCUCAGGCAAGACUACCCGCUGAACUUAAGCAUAUCAAUAAGCGGAGGAAAAGAAACUAACCAGGAUUCCCCUAGUAACGGCGAGUGAACCGGGAAAAGCCCAACUUGAAAAUCUCCAGCCUUCGGCUGGCGAAUUGUAGUCUAUAGAGGCGUCCUCUGUGGCUAACCGGUCUCAAGUGCCUUGGAAAGGGACGUCAAAGAGGGUGAGAACCCCGUCGGACCGGCGCAGCUCACUUCACGAGGCGCUUUCGCAGAGUCGGGUUGUUUGGGAAUGCAGCCCUAAGCAGGUGGUAAAUCCCAUCUAAGGCUAAAUACUGGCGGGAGACCGAUAGCG
rnacentral:rRNA from 1 species